rnacentral:rRNA from 1 species
AUUGAACGCUGGCGGCAGGCCUAACACAUGCAAGUCGAGCGGUAGAGAGAAGCUUGCUUAUCUUGAGAGCGGCGGACGGGUGAGUAAUGCCUAGGAAUCUGCCUGGUAGUGGGGGAUAACGUUCGGAAACGGACGCUAAUACCGCAUACGUCCUACGGGAGAAAGCAGGGGACCUUCGGGCCUUGCGCUAUCAGAUGAGCCUAGGUCGGAUUAGCUAGUUGGUGAGGUAAUGGCUCACCAAGGCGACGAUCCGUAACUGGUCUGAGAGGAUGAUCAGUCACACUGGAACUGAGACACGGUCCAGACUCCUACGGGAGGCAGCAGUGGGGAAUAUUGGACAAUGGGCGAAAGCCUGAUCCAGCCAUGCCGCGUGUGUGAAGAAGGUCUUCGGAUUGUAAAGCACUUUAAGUUGGGAGGAAGGGUUGUAGAUUAAUACUCUGCAAUUUUGACGUUACCGACAGAAUAAGCACCGGCUAACUCUGUGCCAGCAGCCGCGGUAAUACAGAGGGUGCAAGCGUUAAUCGGAAUUACUGGGCGUAAAGCGCGCGUAGGUGGUUUGUUAAGUUGGAUGUGAAAUCCCCGGGCUCAACCUGGGAACUGCAUUCAAAACUGACUGACUAGAGUAUGGUAGAGGGUGGUGGAAUUUCCUGUGUAGCGGUGAAAUGCGUAGAUAUAGGAAGGAACACCAGUGGCGAAGGCGACCACCUGGACUAAUACUGACACUGAGGUGCGAAAGCGUGGGGAGCAAACAGG